AUUGAACGCUGGCGGCAUGCCUUACACAUGCAAGUCGAACGGUAACGGGCCUUCGGGUGCCGACGAGUGGCGAACGGGUGAGUAAUGUAUCGGAACGUACCUUUCAGUGGGGGAUAACGUAGCGAAAGUUACGCUAAUACCGCAUAUUCUGUGAGCAGGAAAGCAGGGGAUCGCAAGACCUUGCGCUGAUUGAGCGGCCGAUAUCAGAUUAGCUAGUUGGUGAGGUAAAGGCUCACCAAGGCGACGAUCUGUAGCGGGUCUGAGAGGAUGGUCCGCCACACUGGACAUGAGACACGGUCCAGACUCCUACGGGAGGCAGCAGUGGGGAAUUUUGGACAAUGGGGGCAACCCUGAUUCAGCCAUGCCGCGUGAGUGAAGAAGGCCUUCGGGUUGUAAAGCUCUUUCGGCCGGGAAGAAAUCGUAUCAGCUAAUACCUGGUGCGGAUGACGGUACCGGCAUAAGAAGCACCGGCUAACUACGUGCCAGCCGCCGCGGUAAAAC
rnacentral:rRNA from 1 species